GACGAACGCUGGCGGCGUGCUUAACACAUGCAAGUCGAACGGAAAGGCCCUGCUUUUGUGGGGUGCUCGAGUGGCGAACGGGUGAGUAACACGUGAGUAACCUGCCCUUGACUUUGGGAUAACUUCAGGAAACUGGGGCUAAUACCGGAUAGGAGCUCCUGCUGCAUGGUGGGGGUUGGAAAGUUUCGGCGGUUGGGGAUGGACUCGCGGCUUAUCAGCUUGUUGGUGGGGUAGUGGCUUACCAAGGCUUUGACGGGUAGCCGGCCUGAGAGGGUGACCGGCCACAUUGGGACGGAGAUACGGCCCAGACUCCUACGGGAGGCAGCAGUGGGGAAUAUUGCACAAUGGGCGGAAGCCUGAUGCAGCAACGCCGCGUGCGGGAUGACGGCCUUCGGGUUGUAAACCGCUUUCGCCUGUGACGAAGCGUGAGUGACGGUAAUGGGUAAAGCAGCACCGGCUAACUACGUG
rnacentral:rRNA from 1 species